UACAGAGGGGGCAAGCGUUGUUCGGAAUUACUGGGCGUAAAGGGCGCGUAGGCGCCUUCUAAGUCGAACGUGAAAUCCCCGGGCUCAACCCGGGAACUGCGUCCGAUACUGGCAGGCUUGAAUCCGGGAGAGGGAUGUGGAAUUCCAGGUGUAGCGGUGAAAUGCGUAGAUAUCUGGAGGAACACCGGUGGCGAAGGCAGCUCGCUGGGACGUGACUGACGCUGAGACGCGAAAGCGUGGGGAGCAAACAGG
rnacentral:rRNA from 1 species